rnacentral:rRNA from 1 species
AAAUUGAAGAGUUUGAUCAUGGCUCAGAUUGAACGCUGGCGGCAGGCCUAACACAUGCAAGUCGAACGGUAACAGGAAGCAGCUUGCUGCUUUGCUGACGAGUGGCGGACGGGUGAGUAAUGUCUGGGAAACUGCCCGAUGGAGGGGGAUAACUACUGGAAACGGUAGCUAAUACCGCAUAAUGUCGAAAGACCAAAGAGGGGGACCUUCGGGCCUCUUGCCAUCGGAUGUGCCCAGAUGGGAUUAGCUUGUUGGUGAGGUAACGGCUCACCAAGGCGACGAUCCCUAGCUGGUCUGAGAGGAUGACCAGCCACACUGGAACUGAGACACGGUCCAGACUCCUACGGGAGGCAGCAGUGGGGAAUAUUGCACAAUGGGCGCAAGCCUGAUGCAGCCAUGCCGCGUGUAUGAAGAAGGCCUUCGGGUUGUAAAGUACUUUCAGCGGGGAGGAAGGGGUUAAGGUUAAUAACCUUAGC